UACAGAGGGUGCAAGCGUUGUUCGGAAUUAUUGGGCGUAAAGGGAGUGUAGGCGGUUUGCUAAGUCUUCUGUGAAAUCUACGGGCUCAGCCUGUAACGUGCAGAGGAAACUGACAGACUUGAGUGUCGGAGAGGAUAGUGGAAUUCCCAGUGUAGUGGUGAAAUACGUAGAGAUUGGGAAGAACACCAGUGGCGAAGGCGGCUAUCUGGACGGUUUCUGACGCUAAGACGCGAAAGCGUGGGGAGCAAACAGG
rnacentral:rRNA from 1 species